rnacentral:lncRNA from 10 species
AAUCUAGUGGUCGACAUUUGAAAAACCCACCACCUAAUAAAAAUUAUCAACCACUUCUUCACUGACUUCCCAGUGCCAUCAACUAUCUCUGCAUGAUGGAAUUUCGGCUCACUUUUAGGGGUCUGCCGAGCCCUAGAAAUCAUUACAGGACUUUUUCUAGCUAUACAUUAUACACCAGAUACAGUAACUGCAUUUUCCUCUGUUGCACAUAUCUGCUGAGAUGUAAAUUAUGGCUGAGUUAUCUGACAUUGACAUCAAUAUUCUCAUCUGCCUAUUUAUAUAUGUAGGAAGAGGCUUAUCCCAGGGGUCCUACACUUUUCUGGAAACCGGAAACAUUGACAUCAUUUCUGCUAUUGGCAGUGAUAGCAACAGCAUGUAUAGGCUACGCCCUACCAUGAAGACAAAUGUCUUUUUGAGGAACAGUGAUCACAACCCUGUGAUCAGCUAUUCCAUGCACUGGCACCUAUCUAGUGGAGUCAGGUGGAGACAGAUCUUCAGUUGACAAAGCCACCCUGACACGAUUCUUCACUUUUCACUUCACUUUACCCUUCACGUCGCUGCCUUGGUAGCUGUCCACCUUCUCUCCCUUCAGGUAACGGGAUCCAACAACCCAUCAGGAAUUUCAUCAGAUGUGGCACAAUCCCAUUUCACCCAUACUACACAAUUAAAAACAUUUUAUUUUAGGCUUGGUUCUCCUCCCAUGAUGAUUACCUGUUGCAGUCUUGUUUUAACCUGACCUACUAGGAGACCUAGAUAAUUAUAGCCCAGCAAAUCCCCUAACGCACCACCUCACAUCAAACCAGAAUGACACAUCAACCCUAUGCUCCAUUCCCAAUACCUCAGGAGGAAUUCUGGCCCCUGUCUUCUCUGUUCUCAUCCUGGCCAUUGUCCCAAUACUUCACCUGUCUAAACAAUGGAGCAUCCAUAAUAUCCCACCAUUCAGCUAAUGUCCAUUUGAAUUCUAGGAGCAGAGCUUCUCACACAUACGUGGCUCGGGGGUCAGCCCAUUGAACAGCCUUUCAUUAUGGUUGGUCAAGAAGCAUCCACUAUGUAUUUCCCUCUCAUUCUCCUUUUAAUACCACUCACUAGCUGAAUCGAAGACAAGCUACUGAA